rnacentral:rRNA from 1 species
AUGUCGAUACCACAAUCGAUGAGGAUGGCUUUCCAGUAUAUAGAAGGCGCGACAAUGGAAGGACGAUCAAAAAGGGAGGAGCAAUGCUCGACAACAGAUUUUGGAGAGCGGUAUUAUAUGAGAAUGCUUCUAAACACAAAGAAAGGAUGCACAUCAUUUCAAAAUGUGGCUGAAUUUGCAGAAUGGAUAUUACAAAUUGGCGACGGAAAAAGAACAAACGAUGAAGGGGAUGAUUGGGUAAAAAUACCUAAAGACAUAAUUCUACAUAAAGGAGAAGACCCCAAAGAAGAGAUAGUCAAAAGCACGUACCAAAACUUGCAACAAAACUACCGUGACCGUGAAUUUCUCGAAGAAAGAGCAAUACUAUGUCCAAGGAAUGAAACAAUUGAGAAGAUAAAUGACUACAUAAUGAGCCAAAUACAAGGGGAAGAGGUGACAUACCUAAGCUUGGACACUGUAUGCAAGGCAACAAUGAAGUACAACACAAUGGAGAAUAUGUGUCCAACAGAGUUUCUUAACAACAUGACCAUCCCAGGAAUUCCAAACCACGAGCUAAAACUGAAGGUAGGUUUGCCGGUGAUGCUCCUACGCAACAUCAAUCAAGCAGCAGGUUUAUGCAAUGGUACAAGAAUGACUAUUACACAGCUGGGAAACAGGUACAUUGAGGCACAAAUAAUCACAGGAACACAUGUCGAUGACAAGGUAUACAUACCUAAAAUCGUUAUGUCACCAAGCGACUCAAAGUGGCCCUUCGUGCUGAAAAGAAGGCAAUAUCCUCUAUCAGUUUGUUUUGCAAUGACAAUAAAUAAAAGCCAAGGUCAAUCCCUAAACAUGGUGGGUCUACAGCCUAGGCAAGUCUUCUGCCAUGGGCAACUAUAUGUGGCACUAUCAAGAGUCACAAGCAGAGAAGGAUUAAAGGUGCUGAUUGACGACACGGAGUGCCCAAGCGAAGAUAGCGCAAAGAAUAUAGUAUACAAAGAGAUUUUCUAUUUUUUUGUUACUCAAGUAAAUAAUAUAUUACAAGUUCAUCCAUCAUAA